UAAUCAUUAGUUUUUUAAUUGAAAGCUGGUAUGAAAGAUUGGACAAGGAUCUAACUGUCUCUUUUUUAAAAGUUGAAUUUUAUUUUUGAGUUAAAAAGCUUAAAUUCUUUUGUAAGACGAGAAGACCCUAUAGAGUUUUAUAUUUAAAAAUUAAAAUUUGAUUUUAGGGGUAAGUCUUUUUAAUUGGUGUAAUAUUUUGUUGGGGUGACAGAAAAAUUUGAUGAACUUUUUCUUUUUUUAAUAUAAAUUUAUAGAUUUUUGAUUUAAAUUUUUAAUUAUAAGAUCAAAUUACCUUAGGGAUAACAGCGUAAUUUUUCUAUAGAGUUCAAAUCGAAAGAAAAGAUUGCGACCUCGAUGUUGGAUUAAAGUUAAAAUUUGGUGUAGAAGCUAUAUAGUUUAGUCUGUUCGACUAUUAAAACUUUACAUGAUCUGAGUUUAAACCGGCGUGUGCCAGGUUGGUUUCUAUCUUCAAUAUUUUAAAAUAUUUUAGUACGAAAGGACCAGAUGUUUUUUAAAUUAAUUUUAUUUUGUCUUAUAUU
rnacentral:rRNA from 1 species